ACUCGACAUAAUACACGUAGUAGGUAGGCCUAGAACAGAACAUCCGGUCUCCUGUUCACUUUUCAGAUUCAUCAUGCACACUGAAUGCCAUAGUCUGCACUGGCACUGAUUCAUGAUGGCACUUUCCACUGUGCCAAAGAGUGAUUGAGUUGCUAAGGGCGAGAAUUGCGUUGAUCUGCUCAUCGCGAGGAAACCCUCCGAGAAGGCCAAGGUCAGUGGUGGGGGUUAAAGAGGCUUACGAAAGCGGAGCGCAAGCAAGGCGUGGGAGAAGCCGUUGCCCGAUCCAGUGUGUUUAUCUCUUGCACUGACAUUCUGUUUCCUGAUACUCCGCCACCGCUGUUUUCACUCCUCAUCGACGCUAAAACCAUUUGGAGGAUGAACUGACUAGGUACAACAUUGUCUAUUGCGUAGUGUCAUAUCUAACAGGUUUGUGAUCCUGCGGGAGUCCUUUUGGGCAGCAGCUGCAAUGAUUCUGCAAUGAUGUAUAUAUAUAUUUUUUUUCGAUCUAGGGUCGAACUUUCAUCAUUUACAUUUUUAAUUAGUUUGGAUUUAGCAUAUCUGAUAUCUAUGUAUA